UGCUGUGUAGCUGCUGUAUACAGCUGGCAGAGCACGAGACUCUUCAUCUCAGGGUUGUGGGUUUGAAUCCCACGUUGGGCAA